rnacentral:rRNA from 1 species
AUGGAUCCGAGGACAGCUUUCUCUUGCUGUGCUCUGCUCCUCAUCACACUGUUGCCUCUUUCAGCAAAUGCCUCGAGCAAACUCUACAUAGUGUACAUGGGGGAGAAGAAACAUGACGAUCCAUCUGCUGUCACCGCGUCGCACCAUGACAUACUAGCCUCAGUAUUUGGGAGCAAGGAUGAAUCCUUGAAGUCAAUAGUUUACAGUUACAAGCACGGAUUCUCUGGAUUCGCGGCAAUGCUCACCGGAACCCAAGCUGAGAUGUUGGCAAAGUUUCCUGAAGUUAUAAGUGUGAAACCUAACACUUAUCAUGAGGCACAAACAACUCGAAGCUGGGACUUCCUUGGCCUUGGCCUCAACAAAUUACCACAACAAACUGACCUGCUUCGGAAAGCAAAUUACGGUGAAGAUAUCAUCAUCGGGGUGAUCGAUUCAGGCAUAUGGCCUGAAUCACUAAGCUUUGACGACAACGGAUACAGCCCCGUUCCGGCACGGUGGAAAGGCAUAUACCAGGUUGGGCAGACAUUCAAUGCAACAAGCUGCAACAGAAAGAUCAUCGGCGCACGGUGGUACUCGAAUGGAGGUGACCCCGAGAAUCUCAAGGGCGAGUACAUGUUGCCUCGGGACUUCCACGGCCAUGGCACACACGUCGCCUCGACGAUCGCCGGUAGAGAAGUCCAGGGUGUGAGCUAUGGUGGCCUAGCCACUGGCAUGGCCCGUGGCGGAGUACCACGUGCACGGCUAGCAAUCUACAAGGCGUUAUGGGGGCCGCGGAUAAGGGGUAGUGAAGCCAUGAUCCUCGCGGCCAUCGACGAUGCCAUACACGAUGGUGUGGAUGUCAUGUCGCUCUCACUUGGGGGUGCUGGUCACGAGUUUCCCGGGACACUGCACGCUGUCUUGAGAGGAAUCUCAGUUGUCUUUUCUGCCGGGAAUGAUGGCCCGGCACCACAAACGGUGACCAAUGCUGUGCCAUGGGUGACGACAGUGGCAGCUAGCACGAUCGACCGUGCCUUCCCAACCUUAAUAUCUCUUGGAAACAAAAAAAAGCUUGUGGGACAAUCUCUUUACUACAACUCAACUCUGAACAACGGUGACUUUAAGGAGCUUGUUCAUGCGGGAAGCUGCACUGCGGAGUGGUUGGCAUCAAGCAACGUGACCAGCAAGAUCGUCCUGUGCUACGCACCGGGGUUGGCGCCCAGCGUGCUGCUUCGGGUAGAUCUGCCCCUCACCAUCAACCGUAGCAUGGGCGCCGGAGCCAAGGGCCUCAUCUUCGCGCAGUACGCCACGAACCUCCUGCCAGCAUGCAAGGGCAGCAUGCCCUGUGUUGUAGUAGACUACGAAACCGCACAGAGAAUUGAGUCAUACGUGGCGAUCGCAGAGAGUCCAAUCGUGAAGAUAUUACCUGCCAUGACCGUUGUCGGAGACACAGUGUUUUCACCAAGGGUCGCUGCAUUCUCGUCCAGAGGCCCUAGCCCCCUGUAUCCAGGCAUACUCAAGAAUUAA